AUUGAACGCUGGCGGCAUGCUUUACACAUGCAAGUCGAACGGCAGCACAGGGAGCUUGCUCCCGGGUGGCGAGUGGCGCACGGGUGAGUAAUACAUCGGAACGUGUCCUGUUGUGGGGGAUAACUGCUCGAAAGGGUGGCUAAUACCGCAUGAGACCUGAGGGUGAAAGCGGGGGAUCGCAAGACCUCGCGCAAUUGGAGCGGCCGAUGCCCGAUUAGCUAGUUGGUGGGGUAAAGGCUCACCAAGGCGACGAUCGGUAGCUGGUCUGAGAGGACGACCAGCCACACUGGGACUGAGACACGGCCCAGACUCCUACGGGAGGCAGCAGUGGGGAAUUUUGGACAAUGGGGGGCAACCCUGAUCCAGCCAUGCCGCGUGCAGGAUGAAGGCCUUCGGGUUGUAACUGCUUUUGUCAGGGACGAAAAGGACCGUGUUAAUACCAUGGUCUGCUGACGGUACCUGAAGAAUAAGCACCGGCUAACUACGUGCCAG
rnacentral:rRNA from 1 species